UUAGCGGCGGACGGGUGAGUAACACGUGGGCAACCUGCCUGUAAGACUGGGAUAACUCCGGGAAACCGGAGCUAAUACCGGAUAACAUUUUUUCUUGCAUAAGAGAAAAUUGAAAGAUGGUUUCGGCUAUCACUUACAGAUGGGCCCGCGGUGCAUUAGCUAGUUGGUGAGGUAACGGCUCACCAAGGCAACGAUGCAUAGCCGACCUGAGAGGGUGAUCGGCCACACUGGGACUGAGACACGGCCCAGACUCCUACGGGAGGCAGCAGUAGGGAAUCUUCCGCAAUGGACGAAAGUCUGACGGAGCAACGCCGCGUGAGUGAUGAAGGCUUUCGGGUCGUAAAACUCUGUUGUUAGGGAAGAACAAGUACAAGAGUAACUGCUUGUACCUUGACGGUACCUAACCAGAAAGCCACGGCUAACUACGUGCCAGCAGCCGCGGUAAUACGUAGGUGGCAAGCGUUAUCCGGAAUUAUUGGGCGUAAAGCGCGCGCAGGCGGU
rnacentral:rRNA from 1 species